UUGAUUCAUUUGCUUGUUCACUCAGAAGAAAUUCCACCGGGGCGAAGUCAAGAGUUCGGGUCCCCCGGCGGGCGCCUGGCUCCGGGGCCGUCCCCCCGCGGGGGGGUUCGGGCGCCGGGGCGGUCCGCCGAAGCAACGUCUGGGUAUGUUCACAGGGGUUUGGGAGUUGAAAACUCGGUAAUGAUCCCUCCGCUGGUUCACCAACGGAGA
rnacentral:misc_RNA from 1 species